AAUUUGUUGUUCUAGAUCGCAAUCUGUUCGCUGAGAGUCCUCACUCUACUGCCUUCUGCAAUAGAAGAAGCCUGCGAAUUCGCCAGAUUGAAUAUGACGGACAAACUCUGUGUUCUACGAGUGCAGUUAUUGAUGAAGUAUGGACACACGAUGGAGAGAAUUUGAGAAAAUGUCGUCGAAUUCGGAUUGCUUCCAUACGAAUGGCAGCGGUAGACAUGCAGUGAACUAACCAGAAGUAGCAUAUGAAAAAGUGUUUUUAAGGAUCGACCACGAAUAAGGCUUGUGCAGAUGUUAAGGCUUUCAUGCCCUCAGGCUGAGCCUGCAGCGGUUUGGAGACGUGACUUGAUUCGCUUCGGCAACCAGUCAUGGAUUACUUAGUUUAAGACAUGCAUUUCUUGAGCAACUAAACGUAAAGUGAGCCACUGACCGAAGGGGCCAGCUGGCCUUCAGAAAAGUUCAAAAACUUAACAAGAAAGAGAAGCUGACAGGAGAGCCAGUCUCACAGACAAUGUUAGGAUGAUGCAGUGCCAAACAUGGCCUCAAGAUCAAUCAUUCAGACAUGGCUACUACUGCUGUCCUGAAAAAAAUGAACAGUGGUGGAGUGGUUGAUGCCAUCGUGCCUCCAUGAUUGAUUUCACUCAAGCGUAACCAGGUGAUAAAGAUCAACUACGGACGAGAGCUCUUCAACACUACUAAGCAUUUGUAAGUCGUAAUUGCCAGUGGACGUAAAUACUUGAGAGUUCAUCAAGCUGAGUGCGUGUAGUGCUACAUGCUUAGUCGCUGAAAUAGUAUCGAUUGCUUUAAUUCUUGUAUAGCGAUUCGAAUUAUCAUGGCGCAUCGUUGAGCAUCAGAGAACGUGCAAUGCACCCACUAAAAGCUCAUUCAAUAUAUAUGAUUAUCAAUUUGUCAGUCCAUUUAACAGCACCAAAGGAAAAUGCAAUGUUGUGAUAACUUCGAUACCUUCACCUUCGUGACAAAUUAUUUCUCUUCGUACAAGCACUCAUAACCCUGCGUGCAAGUCUGAUCUGCGAUGAUGUAGACAUCGGUGUGUUAUUGCAGCAUCACUUGCAAACAUUGUGAGUAGCAAGUGAAGGAAUGUGCCGAUACGAGGUGGAAGCUGCAUCCCUCUCCGGACAGUUAACUCUGUCUCGAGGAGGACAAGCUGCACAGCACUUGAUGGUGUGAUCGCACAGGACGCUAUUGUAGCUCUCAGACCUCUUGCUUUCACUACCAUGGCAGAAAUGAUGAGUGGAACAUCCACGCCGUAUUCCUCCUCAACGAAUUUAUCCAACCCGAUCUAGCUUGCCGCAAUGCUAAUCAAUUACCCUCCAGGAUCGUCGCCAGAGAAGCGAGGAAGAAAGCAAUGGAAUCAGAGCGCGAAAGUUUCUUGGCAACCAACUCGUGGAUUUUCUCUUGGUGGGAGCUUAUUGUGAGUCUGCAUCCACAUGGUUGGAAUCGACUCUAAGCACUCUAUUUUGGCCGUUAAUUAAUUAUCAGUUCACUCCACAUCGUCAUUUCCUAUCCACCCCUACCCGUUUCAGUGCAGCUUGCCUGAACAACAUCCCAACCGGCACUUAAUAGUUGGCCAAGAACAGUCAACAAUUUGCUAGCACGGCGCCAUGAUCUGCACCCGAGUAACUAGAGCCAACUUUCUGGUACUGACUCAGCCCGGCUUGCAUCGGAGGAUUGAUUGACAUCACCCAGCAGCUUGUCUUAAGUCAAAGCUCAGGUUGGGUCGUUUCUGCACAAGGUUCUAUCUCUCUUUCUCUCUCGUUAUCCCAUUUACCGAAACCUGCCCCCAAGUCUGCAACGAAGUACUGUAGAUUCUUGCCAUUUCAAGUCAUUUUCAAGUUGGAGCUGAGCACGGGACAGAUGUCAGAGAGAGUGCAUAAGUAUCCGCAAUGACAAACAAUGAGUGGGCUAUCUACUAGGCAGGGAAUGAUGCUUUUGCCACAAGGACUUGCUGCAGCAAUAGUAAACUAUGAGUUAUGGCCUUUGUCGGGAUUAAACUAAACUACGGGCGUAGAGAUCUCUCCGCAGGACAGGUGUUACCCUAAAGCUGCAAGCAACAUGUCCUUCCUUCCCGCUUGUUUUGUCACUAGUCUUUGGAACAGGUAACGAGGGCAUUUCAACCAUAUUCUCACCCCCCCCCCUUUUCUUCAGCUCCUCCCGUUCGGCUUACUUGUUCCCAGUCAACCACCCCAGGCGCAGGAAUUGUCUUCAAAAUAAAAGAGCUGGGGUAAGCUCAACUGUAAGGCCCAUUGCCAUUGACUAGAUCAACCGCGACAAUACCGUGCGGUGUGAAUAGCUCAGCACCACACCCUCUUGGCACUGGACCACUUAUCCGAUUGGCUGACCCACGGUCCAAUGUCCUCGGCGACGGCAGGCUGUGAGGGGUUAAUCAAACUAAGGAGCAAAGCACAUCAAGAUUAACGAGUAAGCAUGCUAAUCAAACAGUGCUAUGGUCAUGGCUACAUCUUAGGGUUCCGUCAGACAGCCCUCUCAGCAACCAGAUCUAAGCUGUUUCUAAUCUGCCAGUCCCAGACUUGAUGUUGUCUCAUUGACUAAAGCAGGAUUAUGAGAGUUCGUGCAGAUGUGGUAUGGAUGAAAAAGAAGAGCUGCAACAUCUUCUUAUUUUCUCAUCCGAGAGUUUGAAAUCAGUGUAGUUUAGGGCUUGCACUGUAAAAAGCUGAGAGCAUUGGUUGUGCAUGAGAAUGCUGAUUAUUAGCGCAACGUGAGCACCUAAAGGCUCUUAACAGACAAAACCCAACAAAUAAGGAAACAAAUGAAUAAAAUCAGUAGUAGCUUCAA